rfam:Gossypium arboreum cultivar AKA8401 contig_1341_9, whole genome shotgun sequence.
AUCCUUUGGUGAGGGCAUUCUCUUAAUAACUCUUUAAAUCUUUUCCACGCCUCAUACAAAAAUUCAUCAUCCAUCUGCUAAAAAGUAGUAAUCUCAUUCUGCAACUU